CUCUGACUCACGAGUGGACGGAGUCAAUAUUUAACCCAGAAUAUUAAAGAUCAAACUGAAAAUAUUCUGAGUGGAGCAGAAGAGAGUGAGCCCGGCCGCUGUGACAGGAGUUUUUCUACAGGAACUCAGGAACACACAGGAGAACCAUGAAAUUCAGAUCACUAAUGCAUGAAAUAAUAAGAAAAAUGGAAAAAAGUGGACUGAGGGGCUGAGGGACUGUGACGUCUGUGAGAAAUAAAAACAGAGAGCACGUGGAGACGAAGCCGAGCAAACAGUCUCAGCUCUCUGUGAUGGAGCUUUCAGGCUGAUGGAGAUAAGACCUCCAUCCCAUCAGCCUCAGCAAAAAAAAACAAGCCCACAGCCACACCUCCAACACUGCAGCCACGCCUCCAACACUGCAGCCACGCCUCCAACACCACAGCCUCGCCUCUUACAUCACAGCCACGCCUCCAACACCACAGCCACACCUCCAACACCACAGCCAUGCCUCUAAUGCCACAGCCACGCCUCUAACGCCACAGCCACGCCUCUAACGCCACAGCCACGCCUCCAACUGAA